AGGUCCCCGGUUCGAUCCCGGGCGGAAACACCA
rnacentral:ncRNA from 2 species